GGCGCGGUAGCUCAGCUGGUCAGAGCGCAUGAUUCAUAAUCAUGAGGUCGGGAGUUCAAGCCUCCCCCGCGCUACCG
rnacentral:tRNA from 1 species